UUAAUAUCCAUUGCUGUGAUCAGAUGAACAGGACUAGCAGGGCCAUCUAGUGACUCCUCUGGCUGCUUAAUGACCUGGGAGGCACCCCCCCUUAGAUGGGUAUGAUUCUAAUGUUUGUAUUUUGAACCAUGCCCCUGUACCUGUCCACCUUUCCCUCCAUCUCCCCUCUUUUUGGCUGGUGGUUAUCCCUUGCCCUGCAGUUUUGUUUUCCCUCGUUCGCUACAGAGCUGGAAAAUGCUUGGGCUUCCCCACGGUGGAAUGGAAAUUCGUCCUGUGUUGCCUUGGGUUGGGUGACAUAAGGUCGGACAGCUAAAUAGCUCAUAGAUCUGAGAGGAGAGGGAUCCUGCAGGCUGGCUUGCCUUCCUCAACGCCGCCGGUAAAGCUGCUCUCUGGACAGGAGUCUGCUUGUCUCGUCUGUGGCCUCAAUUUCUUUGCUGCUAGCCCGCAGGUGCUGGUGUAGCCGCUUGCCGGGGCACUGCGGGGCUUCCUCGUCACCGGCUGCUCCUGCAGCUUCGUGCCGGCUGGCAGCCACGAAGAGCUCAGAGCUGCCUGCCCCAGGGAAGGGCUCAGCACAUCACCCCGCUGCCUCCCCAGCUGGCAGGAUUGCUCCCUCAGCUCACCGAGGCUGGUUUGAACCCCAUGAUCCAGAGAUGGGCAGGACAACUCCCAGCCGAGCCGGCAGCAGCUGGGAGGAGCAGCAGCCAGGACAGAGCUCCGCCAGCCAUUGCAGGGCUGUGACAGGUGCUGUUUGCAAGACGGCGUGAUGCAGUGGCAAUACUGGAGUAGGGAACGUGGCUCACAUCUCUGUUGAGGGCUGAACCCAAGUCAUCGCGUCUUUCUAACCCAGCAGAGUGAGCUGGGCACUGCCACCUGCCAACGCAGGGAACUCAUGGUGCUUCCCUCUCUGCCGUUGGGAGACUCCUGAAAGCAGCUCCCGGGGAUGCAGG
ensembl:lncRNA